CGAAUCAAGCUUAUGGGACACUGGACUACAGGUUGCUGCCACUACUCCAUGUGCCCGCAAUUGUCUUGCGUGUAUGAUUACACUAACGACGUCGCCCACCACGGCGGAAGUGUUUUGCGUACACGCGUUUCAGCAUGAAGCCUGCAGGUGGACGUAAAUUGUAGAAGGCAGCUAGUGGGGGAGAAGAUCAUGGUCAUAGGUCAUAUGGCUCCUGGAGCUCCCAGUGGGCUCCCUUGUGGAGUACUUUUCAGAACACACACACAGUUCGCUCACAGAACCAACGAGUAGGAUGUUGCUUGAAUACUGAGAGAAAAUGGCGUAACACAUACAAAUAUCGUGUGACACAUAUGACAACAAAAACAUUUUUCACGAGGGAUGCAUGAAACACUGUCGCAAUAUUGUGUGCAUGAACCAUUGUGUGUGACACAAGCCGUGGGGGCACACCGCCUCGGACACAUUUUGGAAAGCAUAAAACACAGUAUAUACACAGCUAAUGUGGUGGAUGCUUCUUUUUUCUUUUUGGCCGUUAUGAGACAUCUUCGGCCGUAUUGAGACUUUGGCCGUAACGAGACACUUGGGGAUUAAAGGAUUUUCGGCCGUAAUGAGACUUUUGGCCGUAAUGAGACUCGGGCCGUAAUGAGACUUCGGCCGUAAUGAGAUGUUACCAACCACGAAACCAC